rnacentral:rRNA from 2 species
GUGCUUGCAUCAUGAUUUACAUUUGAGUGAGUGGCGAACUGGUGAGUAACACGUGGGAAACCUGCCCAGAAGCGGGGGAUAACACCUGGAAACAGAUGCUAAUACCGCAUAACAACUUGGACCGCAGGGUCCGAGCUUGAAAGAUGGCUUCGGCUAUCACUUUUGGAUGGUCCCGCGGCGUAUUAGCUAGAUGGUGGGGUAACGGCUCACCAUGGCAAUGAUACGUAGCCGACCUGAGAGGGUAAUCGGCCACAUUGGGACUGAGACACGGCCCAAACUCCUACGGGAGGCAGCAGUAGGGAAUCUUCCACAAUGGACGAAAGUCUGAUGGAGCAACGCCGCGUGAGUGAAGAAGGGUUUCGGCUCGUAAAACUCUGUUGUUAAAGAAGAACAUAUCUGAGAGUAACUGUUCAGGUAUUGACGGUAUUUAACCAGAAAGCCACGGCUAACUACGUGCCAGCAGCCGCGGUAAUACGUAGGUGGCAAGCGUUGUCCGGAUUUAUUGGGCGUAAAGCGAGCGCAGGCGGUUUUUUAAGUCUGAUGUGAAAGCCUUCGGCUCAACCGAAGAAGUGCAUCGGAAACUGGGAAACUUGAGUGCAGAAGAGGACAGUGGAACUCCAUGUGUAGCGGUGAAAUGCGUAGAUAUAUGGAAGAACACCAGUGGCGAAGGCGGCUGUCUGGUCUGUAACUGACGCUGAGGCUCGAAAGUAUGGGUAGCAAACAGGAUUAGAUACCCUGGUAGUCCAUACCGUAAACGAUGAAUGCUAAGUGUUGGAGGGUUUCCGCCCUUCAGUGCUGCAGCUAACGCAUUAAGCAUUCCGCCUGGGGAGUACGGCCGCAAGGCUGAAACUCAAAGGAAUUGACUGGGGCCCGCACAAGCGGUGGAGCAUGUGGUUUAAUUCGAAGCUACGCGA